CAAAGUGUAGCUUAACCAAAAGCACCCAGCUUACACCUGGAAGAUUUCAAGUACACUGACCACUUUGA
rnacentral:tRNA from 1 species